AUUGAACGCUGGCGGGAGGCCUAACACAUGCAAGUCGAACGAGUGGCGGAAGGGUGAGUAAUGUAUGGGAACGUGCCUGAUGGAGGGGGAUAACUACUGGAAAGAGUGGCUAAUACCGCAUACUAUUAGAUGGGCCCAGAUGGGAUUAGGUUGUUGGUGGGGUAACGGCUCACCAAGGCCACGAUCCCUAGCUGGUUUGAGAGGAUGACCAGCCACACUGGAACUGAGACACGUCCCAGACUCCUACGGGAGGCAGCAGUGGGGAAUAUUGCACAAUGGGCGCAAGCCUGAUGCAGCCAUGCCGCGUGUAUGAUGAAGGCCUUCGGGUUGUAAAGUACUUUCGGCGGAGAGGCGUUACCCGCAGAAUAAGCACCGGCUAACUCCGUGCCAGCAGCCGCGGUAAUAC
rnacentral:rRNA from 1 species